GCCGAAAUAGCACCGUUGGGAGAGCAUUAGACUAUAGAUCCAAAAAUCGCUGGUUCGAUCCCGGGUUUCGGCA
rnacentral:tRNA from 1 species